rnacentral:rRNA from 1 species
GCGCAGCAGUCGCGAAUUUUUCACAAUGGGGGAAACCCUGAUGGAGCGACGCCGCGUGGAGGAUGAAGGCGUUUUCGUCGUAAACUCCUGUCAUGCGAGAACAAGAAAGUGAUAGUAUCGCAAGAGGAAGAGGCGGCUAACUCUGUGCCAGCAGCCGCGGUAAUACAGAGGCCUCAAGCGUUGUUCGGAUUCAUUGGGCGUAAAGGGUGCGUAGGUGGCAUGGUAAGUUGAAGGUGAAAUCUCGGAGCUCAACUCCGAAACUGCCUUCAAUACUGCUGUGCUCGAGGACUGUAGAGGAGAAUGGAAUUCACGGUGUAGCAGUGAAAUGCGUAGAUAUCGUGAGGAAGACCAGUGGCGAAGGCGAUUCUCUGGGCAGUUCCUGACACUGAGGCACGAAGGCUAGGGGAGCAAACGGGAUUAGAUACCCGGGUAGU